GCUGCAACAAACCUGGAGAAUGACUUUUUUGGUGCUGUUGACCGCUACACACCACACUUUGUCACCAUCUUCAAGUCCAAGAAAGGAAGUGUUGGAGAGAAACUGGUUGAGAUUGUGCAGCAAAUUGAUUCAAGGAAACCAGAUGUGACAGCAGUGCGUACCGUUGUUCUCCAAGGCAUCCCUGUUCUGCUUGGUGAUGACCCCAGUUACUUCUACAACACCUCCUUUGAUUCUGACAGUGAGGAGGCCUGGGCCCAGGUAUCUGUUGGAUUG